GACAGAGGGUGCAAACGUUGCUCGGAUUUACUGGGCGUAAAGCGCGUGUAGGCGGGCGACUAAGUCGGGUGUGAAAGCCCCGGGCUCAACCUGGGAAUUGCAUUCGAGACUGCGUGGCUAGGGUGCGGAAGAGGGAAGCGGAAUUUCCGGUGUAGCGGUGAAAUGCGUAGAUAUCGGAAGGAACACCAGUGGCGAAAGCGGCUUCCUGGUCCAGCACCGACGUUCAGGCACGAAAGCGUGGGGAGCAAACAGG
rnacentral:rRNA from 1 species